rnacentral:rRNA from 1 species
AGAGUUUGAUCCUGGCUCAGGACGAACGCUGGCGGUGUGCUUCACACAUGCAAGUCGAGCGAAUGAAGAAGGUAGCUUGCUACUCUUGGAUUUAGCGGCGGACGGGUGAGUAAUAUAUAGGAAUCUGCCCUAGAGCGGGGAACAACAGACCGAAAGGUUUGCUAAUGCCCCAUAGGUACGCAGUCUUCGGAUUGUUUAUUAAAGGAGUAAUCCACUCUAGGAUGAGCCUGUAUCCGAUUAGCUAGUUGGCGGGGUAAAGGCCCACCAAGGCUACGAUCGGUAGUUGGUCUGAGAGGAUGAUCAGCCACAAUGGGACUGAGACACGGCCCAUACUCCUACGGGAGGCAGCAGUGGGGAAUUUUACGCAAUGGGGGAAACCCUGAUGUAGCGACACCGCGUGAACGAAGAAGCCUUUUGGGGUGUAAAGUUCUGUCGGCUGGAACGAAAAAAAUGACGGUACCAGCAAAGGAAGCAUCGGCUAACUACGUGCCAGCAGCCGCGGUAAGACGUAGGAUGCAAGCGUUGUCCGGAUUUAUUGGGCGUAAAGAGUUCGUAGGCGGUUAUUUAAGUCUGGUGUUAAAUACUGUGGCCCAACCACAGAACUGCAUUGGAUACUGGAUGACUUGAGUGCGGUAGAGGCGAGUGGAAUUCCCAGUGUAGCGGUGAAAUGCGUAGA